ACAUUGAACCAUUGCAGACACAGCUUCAUGAUAUCAACUUGCUCGGGCAGAGCCUCAUCCAAAACGCUGCUAAAGGCACCAGCACUAAGAAACUUGAAGAUGACCUAGAAGACGUAAACUUGAAGUGGAAUACCCUAAAUAAAAAGAUUGCCGAGCGUUCUGCGCAGCUGCAUGAAGCCCUGUUGCAUUGUGGGAGGUUUCAGGAUGCUUUGGAGUCUCUCCUCAGCUGGUUAACUGACACAGAGGAGCUCGUGGCCAAUCAGAAACCUCCAUCUGCUGAGUUCAAAGUGGUGAAAGCACAAAUACAAGAACAGAAACUCCUGCAGAGAUUGCUAGAUGACCGAAAGCCGACCGUGGAGCUGAUAAAAAACGAGGGAGGAAAGGUUGCAGAACUGGCUGAGUCUGUGGAUAAGGAGAAGGUUGCAAAAGAGAUUGAAUCCCUGGGGCAGAGGUGGGACACUUUACUCAAGAAAGCUGAA